CCUCUCGUCGCCCAAUUGGAAAAGGCACCGAUUUCCUAAAUCGGGGACUGCGCGUUCGAAUCGCGCCGAGAGGC
rnacentral:tRNA from 1 species